rnacentral:rRNA from 1 species
CAAGUCGAACGAAUCCCACCUGGGUAACUGGGUGGGGGAAGUGGCGAAAGGGGCAGUAAGGCGUAGGUAACCUACCCCGGGGACGGGGAUAGCCAUUCUAACGAGUGGGUAAUACCCGGCGAUCUGGCGGACAGACAUCUGCCUGCCAGGAAAGGAAUUUCGCCUCGGGAGGGGCUUACGUGGUAUUAGCUAGUUGGUAGGGUAACGGCCUACCAAGGCCAAGAUGCCUAGCAGGUGUGAGAGCACGACCUGCGCCACUGGCACUGCGACACUGGCCAGACUCCUACGGGAGGCUGCAGUCGAGGAUCUUCGGCAAUGGGCGCAAGCCUGACCGAGCGACGCCGCGUGUGCGAUGAAGGCCUUCGGGUUGUAAAGCACUGUCGAGGGGGAGGAAAGCCCGUAAGGGUUUGACCUAUCCCUGGAGGAAGCACGGGCUAAGUUCGUGCCAGCAGCCGCGGUAAGACGAACCGUGCAAACGUUGUUCGGAAUCACUGGGCGUAAAGGGCGCGUAGGCGGGUGGUCAAGUCAGGGGUGAAAUCUUUCAGCUCAACUGGAAAACAGCUUUUGAUACUGGCCAUCUUGAGGGGGGUAGGGGCAUGUGGAACUUCCGGUGGAGCGAUGAAAUGCGUAGAUAUCGGAAGGAACGCCGGUGGCGAAAGCGACGUGCUGGACCCUUUCUGACGCUGAGGCGCGAAAGCCAGGGGAGCAAACGGGGAUUAGAUACCCCGGUAGUCCUGGCCCUAAACGAUGGGUACUAGAUUGUGGACUGAACAUGGGGUUCACAGUCCAAGCCAAAAUU